GAUGAACGCUGGCGGCGUGCCUAAUACAUGCAAGUCGAGCGAACAGACGAGGAGCUUGCUCCUCUGACGUUAGCGGCGGACGGGUGAGUAACACGUGGAUAACCUACCUAUAAGACUGGUAUAACUUCGGGAAACCGGAGCUAAUACCGGAUAAUAUAUUGAACCGCAUGGUUCAAUAGUGAAAGACGGUUUUGCUGUCACUUAUAGAUGGAUCCGCGCCGCAUUAGCUAGUUGGUAAGGUAACGGCUUACCAAGGCAACGAUGCGUAGACGACCUGAGAGGGUGAUCGGCCACACUGGAACUGAGACACGGUCAAGACUCCUACGGGAGGCAGCAGAAGGGAAUCUUACGCAAUGGGCGAAAGCAUGACGGAGCAACGCCGCGUGAGUGAUGAAGGUCUUCGGAUCGUAAAACUCUGUUAUUAGGGAAGAACAAAUGUGUAAGUAACUAUGCACGUCUUGACGGUAACUAAUCAGAAAGCCACAGCUAACUACGUG
rnacentral:rRNA from 1 species